rnacentral:rRNA from 1 species
GAUGAACGCUGGCGGCGUGCCUAAUACAUGCAAGUCGAGCGAACGGACGAGAAGCUUGCUUCUCUGAUGUUAGCGGCGGACGGGUGAGUAACACGUGGAUAACCUACCUAUAAGACUGGGAUAACUUCGGGAAACCGGAGCUAAUACCGGAUAAUAUUUUGAACCGCAUGGUUCAAAAGUGAAAGACGGUCUUGCUGUCACUUAUAGAUGGAUCCGCGCUGCAUUAGCUAGUUGGUAAGGUAACGGCUUACCAAGGCAACGAUGCAUAGCCGACCUGAGAGUGUGAUCGGCCACACUGGCACUGAGACACGGUCCAGACUCCUACGGGAGGCAGCAGUAGGGAAUCUUCCGCAAUGGGCGAAAGCCUGACGGAGCACCGCCGCGUGAGUGAUGAAGGUCUUCGGAUCGUAAAACUCUGUUAUUAGGGAAGAACAUAUGUGUAAGUAACUGUGCACAUCUUGACGGUACCUAACCAGAAAGCCACGGCCAACUACGUG